rnacentral:rRNA from 1 species
GUCCACGCCCUAAACGGUGGGUACUAGGUGUAGGGCUCGCAAGGGUUCUGUGCCGUAGGGAAACCAUUAAGUACCCCGCAUGGGGAGUACGGCCGCAAGGUUGAAACUCAAAGGAAUUGACGGGGGCCCGCACAAGCGGUGGAGCAUGUGGUUUAAUUCGACGCAACGCGAAGAACCUUACAUGGGCUUGACAUGUUAGUGGUAAGAACCUGAAAGGGGGAUGACCUGUAGCAAUACAGGAGCUAACACAGGUGCUGCAUGGCUGUCGU